GAUGAACGCUGGCGGCGUGCCUAAUACAUGCAAGUCGAGCGAACGGACGAGAAGCUUGCUUUUCUGAUGUUAGCGGCGGACGGGUGAGUAACACGUGGAUAACCUACCUAUAAGACUGGGAUAACUUCGGGAAACCGGAGCUAAUACCGGAUAAUAUUUUGAACCGCAAGGUUCAAAAGAGAAAGACGGUGUUGCUGUCACUUAUAGAUGGAUCCGCGCUGCAUUAGCUAGUUGGUAAGGUAACGGCUUACCAAGGCAACGAUGCAUAGCCGACCUGAGAGGGUGAUCGGCCACACUGGAACUGAGACACGGUCCAGACUCCUACGGGAGGCAGCAGUAGGGAAUCUUCCGCAAUGGGCGAAAGCCUGACGGAGCAACGCCGCGUGAGUGAUGAAGGUCUUCGGAUCGUAAAACUCUGUUAUUAGGGAAGAACAUAUGUGUAAGUAACUGUGCACAUCUUGACGGUACCUAAUCAGAAAGCCACGGCUAACUACGUG
rnacentral:rRNA from 1 species